AGUGAACGCUGGCGGUAGGCCUAACACAUGCAAGUCGAACGGCAGCACAGGAGAGCUUGCUCUCUGGGUGGCGAGUGGCGGACGGGUGAGGAAUACAUCGGAAUCUACUCUGUCGUGGGGGAUAACGUAGGGAAACUUACGCUAAUACCGCAUACGACCUACGGGUGAAAGCAGGGGACCUUCGGGCCUUGCGCGAUUGAAUGAGCCGAUGUCGGAUUAGCUAGUUGGCGGGGUAAAGGCCCACCAAGGCGACGAUCCGUAGCUGGUCUGAGAGGAUGAUCAGCCAAAGUGGAACUGAGGCACGGUCCAGACUCAUACGGGAGGCAGCAGUGGGGAAUAUUGGACAAUGGGCGCAAGGCUGAUCCAGCCAUACCGCGUGGGUGAAGAAGGCCUUCGGGUUGUAAAGCCCUGUUGUUGGGAAAGAAAUCCAGCUGGCUAAUACCCGGUGGGGAUGACGGUACCCAAAGAAUAAGCACCGGCUAACUUCGUGCCAGCCGCCGCGGUAA
rnacentral:rRNA from 1 species